rnacentral:rRNA from 1 species
GAAGGUGUACUGUGAGGUAUGCUGGAGGUAUCAGAAGUGCGAAUGCUGACAUAAGUAACGAUAAAGCGGGUGAAAAGCCCGCUCGCCGGAAGACCAAGGGUUCCUGUCCAACGUUAAUCGGGGCAGGGUGAGUCGACCCCUAAGGCGAGGCCGAAAGGCGUAGUCGAUGGGAAACAGGUUAAUAUUCCUGUACUUGGUGUUACUGCGAAGGGGGGACGGAGAAGGCUAUGUUGGCCGGGCGACGGUUGUCCCGGUUUAAGCGUGUAGGCUGGUUUUCCAGGCAAAUCCGGAAAAUCAAGGCUGAGGCGUGAUGACGAGGCACUACGGUGCUGAAGCAACAAAUGCCCUGCUUCCAGGAAAAGCCUCUAAGCAUCAGGUAACAUCAAAUCGUACCCCAAACCGACACAGGUGGUCAGGUAGAGAAUACCAAGGCGCUUGAGAGAACUCGGGUGAAGGAACUAGGCAAAAUGGUGCCGUAACUUCGGGAGAAGGCACGC